rnacentral:rRNA from 2 species
UGGGGAAUAUUGCACAAUGGGGGAAACCCUGAUGCAGCAACGCCGCGUGAGUGAUGAAGGCCUUCGGGUUGUAAAGCUCUGUCUUUGGGGACGAUAAUGACGGUACCCAAGGAGGAAGCCACGGCUAACUACGUGCCAGCAGCCGCGGUAAUACGUAGGUGGCAAGCGUUGUCCGGAUUUACUGGGCGUAAAGGGAGCGUAGGUGGAUAUUUAAGUGGGAUGUGAAAUACCUGAGCUUAACUUGGGUGCUGCAUUCCAAACUGGAUAUCUAGAGUGCAGGAGAGGAAAGUGGAAUUCCUAGUGUAGCGGUGAAAUGCGUAGAGAUUAGGAAGAACACCAGUGGCGAAGGCGACUUUCUGGACUGUAACUGACACUGAGGCUCGAAAGCGUGGGGAGCAAACAGG